ensembl:lncRNA
AGGGUUGUUUCCUCCUGUAGGAGAUUGGUGGUAGAGGGUUCAAAGAGCAUCCAACAAGAAGCAAUUGCAGUAGCCCUGGUGAAGCUAAGUUAAAGGUGUUACACUGAUCAAAAAGCAAAGUUUAUAUGUGCUGCUUUCUCCCUGAGGAAUUUGUCAGAUGCAGGAGGCAGAUCCGGAGAAUCUCUAAGUAGCCUCUUCCUUCUGAUGGUCUGUAGAUCAUAGAUCCACAUAUCUCUUUAGAAGGAUAUGUAGGCAACAGUAACAACUGCAGUACUGUAGACUUCCUUCAGGUCCUUACAAGCACCAAUGGAUGCACAAACUUCAGUAACUCAGGUCCAAAGUCCUACUUACCCUCUGCAUCUACACUGAUUCUCUGGGAAAGUACUGUCAGAAGAAUGCCCAAGAAACCCAGCAGAAGUUUGCAGUGCUUGUGACAUUGAAACACAUUUUUGUCCUUCUGGCUGUAUCAGGAGAAUCAGGGUCAGAGGAUACUUAUUCUCAAGGCAAAGGUAGUGGAAGUUCUAUAAGUAUAGACUUUUAAAGGUUUUGAAGACCACUAUGUGUCUUAUUCUGUGACCCCGAGGCACUCACAGGUUUAAUGUUUCAUAGAUAUUGGUGGAACAAAAAUAGCAACUUCAGCCAUUUAUUUCUUUCUUCUGAUGUCUUGAUAUGAACAGGCUUAUUUUAUGUCAAAGCAAGCCAAUGGAUAUGAGAUAAAGAAUGGGGUUUAUUUUAUCUCUACUGCCAAUCAUGCUAGCUUAGCUCUCACAUUUGGCUGUGCCUGAGGAGCUGUGGAAUGUGUAAUCCUCUCCCUCUUUACCCAAGUACUGCUUGGAGUCAGCAUGUAGCAGCCUGAAUGAGCCUGACUGAAGCACUGCCUGCAUCCUUCUCCCAGAGCCGUAGGAAAGGGUGGUACAGACAACAGGAGCAGCCCUUAUCUUUGCGUACUGAGUGUGAUCCUGCUCCUCAGAAGCUUGGGAUGUUGAGUAACUUCAGUCAGUCACAUAACACUUCUCCCUCUUCGGUCUUCAGAUCAUGACACAAAAUCAAUGAGAGGAUUGAUUGCUAGUGCUGUUAGAAGUUACUUUUGUUUGCUUCUCCUCUCAGGAAGAAGGAGAGGUGUCAAUGAGAAUUUUUAUUGGCUUAAUGAACUGCUGAAAAGUAUCCAAUGUGACACUAAAAUUACUCUUUUUUUCAUGUUGAGAGGAAAAAAUAGUUCUCAGAAUCACACUGUUAUACAUGCCUGCUUCUUGAAUUUACGCUACAGACAUUUCUCUGAAGGGGAGUUCAGCUAUGAAAAAGAGGAAGCCGAGGAGGCCUAAAAAAAACAAGGGAUUUUUUAUGUUUAUGUAUCUCAUCAAAUUUUAGCUUUCUUGUCUAUUUUUAACAUUCAGUAUUGUAUUAAAUCACAGGCAGGCACGAAGAAUGGAGAAUUUUUAGGUAUUCAUAUUGGAUUCUGAUGCAGGUAUUGUACCUUAAUCUGUGUAGCAUGUGUCGAGAAAUAUUAAAGCUUUAGAACCUUUCCGAAAACACAG